rnacentral:rRNA from 1 species
CGAGAGAGAGCUUGCUUUCUCGAGCGAGUGGCGAACGGGUGAGUAACGCGUGAGGAACCUGCCUCAAAGAGGGGGACAACAGUUGGAAACGACUGCUAAUACCGCAUAAGCCCACGACCCGGCAUCGGGUAGAGGGAAAAGGAGCAAUCCGCUUUGAGAUGGCCUCGCGUCCGAUUAGCUAGUUGGUGAGGUAACGGCCCACCAAGGCGACGAUCAGUAGCCGGUCUGAGAGGAUGAACGGCCACAUUGGGACUGAGAUACGGCCCAAACUCC